ACGAGGCAUUACUUAGCUUAUCUUACUAAUUCGGGGCAUAAAAAUUCGUUUUAAAAAUUAAUUUCACUGUUUACAGUAAUCUGUCCAAUCGUGCAGCAGUUACUAAAUUGAUUAUAACUCGAGCUACGGAACUCCAAAUUUAAUUUCGUAAAUUUUCCCUGAAACUAGACUCAUAUAUAUACUCACCAUAAAAUUUUUAGAAUUUUUGGUUCAGCAAAUUAGUACAGUUUAUUAGUUAAAUUCUCCCCUGUGUCACCACCAGACUGCCCUGACCUCUAGUCACUAAAAAUAAUUUUUCUCACUAUAGGAUUUUCAUAUGAAGUUAUUACUUGUUUUUAUAGAAAAUAGACUCAUUAAGGAAUCUAAGCAUGUAAAUUUCAACUCAUAACCAUUUUUGUACAAUUUGUAAUUGUUUUCUAAACUCAGAACAGGGGACUCCAAAAACAGUUCUGACCCUAUCUUACUAAAAUUCACAUAUCUUAAAAUAUAAAUUUCUUUUUUCUACACCGUUAUUUUUCCAUGAAAAUAGACUCAACAAGCUUUAAUUCCAUAUAUCAUUCACCCUCUAAUUCAUUUUAUACUAUCCUAGGUGAUUUUUCAAAGUUACGUCACUAUUGCUGCCUGAAUUCUGUUUCUUUGCAAAAUUUUACCAUUUUAUGACUUUCAUACCUAAUUUAUCACUUAGACUUUUAUAACAAUAAUUAACUUCAUCCUUGACCAUUUAAACAACCCUUCAUCAUCAAAUACUUACACAUCAUUCUAUAGUAAAAUCAUAUUUACAAAUAUACAAAAUUACUAAAUUCCUAUACAUGCCAUAACUAAAAGAAAUGUUCACCACCACAAUUAGCUCAGAAUCGGCUUUGGAUGCUGAUUCAACAAUCCGACUUUGACCUAACCUGCGCACGGAAACAACCGUACGCUGAGUAUGGAAAUACUCAGUGGUAUUACCAUAAUUCGAAUUAAUAACAUUAAUCGAUAAAUUAUAUACAUUUUAUUUAUGUCUACAAUUAUUCAUUAAUUAUCUCAUGCAUUAAAUCAACUUGAUAAUUAAUAACAAUAAGCUAUAAUUCAAAUCUUGUAUUUAAUUGUAUUCAUACCUUAUUUCACUAUCUCAAUUCCAUUGGAUUUUUCUUUACAUCUCAUUCCAAUAGUUCAUUUCAAUUCAUAUACAAUUCAUUUCAUUUAAUUUAUAUUCAAUAUAAAUUUUAUUGCAAUUUGUACUCACUAAUAUCAUAUAACAAAAUUUACUCUUUAUCACAUCAUGAACUUUGGGCUCAUAUCUUUAAAUCUCUUAUUUCGAUUUCCAAUUCACACAUCAAUUCACAACUUCACUUUUUCGUUUCUUCCCAUAGCUCAAUCAAUCACAUUUAUUCAAUUUUCUCAUUUCAAUUAUUUACCCCUAUUAACAAGACUCGGACCUUGGCGGAUACACGGAUCCAACCAAACACACCAGAAUGGCACCCAGUGCCUCAUCGGAUAGUUCGAAGCAAUAGUUGACACCCAGUGUCUCAUCGGCAAAGCCGAAGAAAGUUGGUACCCAGUACCUCAUCGAAUCUAUCCGAAGAAAUAUAGUGACACCCAGUGUCUCAUCGACUCAAGGUCGAAAUAUCCCUGAACUCUUCCAAUCCUAUGGCAUGCCAACUAUAUCCGACUCAGCCCGACUAGUUAAUAGGGUUUCCGAAUCACAUUUCAAUUCAAUCACUUUCUCAUACUUUCAAUUCAAAUCAUUCCCAUUUAAUCACCAUUUGUUUCAAUACAUUUUUCUAUUUCAAAUUCACUUUCGAUUUAAUCGCAAUUCAACUCAGAUUCACUUCCCACUUUCAAAUCAAUAUACAAUUCAAUACCAAUACAUAUUUCAGAUAUUCACAUAUAAUCAUACUUCGAUUCAAUUCAAACCACUUUUCAAUCAAUACACAAUUCACAUAUUCACAUAUCUCAAUUUAAUAUCUCAUUUAUUCAAUUCAUAUUUUAAUUCAUUCAAUUAAAUAUUGAUAUUCUCCUUAUUUUUAUUUACUAACAUAUUAUUCAAAAUUCAAUAAUUACUGUCAAUAAAUUCAAUAUCAAUACGUAUAUAUAUUAUUCAAUUCAAUUAUGAAACUCACCUCAAUUUGCUUAUCGUGUAUAUUAAUUUAAUUUUCAACGAUUAAUAAUUAAAUUCGAAUUAUAGUAAUACUAACCGUAAUUUCUCUCGAGUCACUCCUUGUCCACUUUCUCCUUUCCUUUCUCGGACAAUGACUCGUACACGACAUUAGCUACGUAAUUAAACAAUUAAAAAUCAUUAAUACACAAUUUCAUUAAAAUAUUUCCUUUUAUACCUAAACUUUAUAAUUAUCCCUUACCAAUACUAAUUUUAUUUUUCCCAAUCUAACUCUAUAUUCUCUCUUAAUUCUUACUAUAAAGUCAAUUUAAUUCCUCAAUUUCACCAUAAAUCCCUAAUUUCGGGAUUCUUUCAAUUUAAUCCCUAUCGAUUCAAAACUUAUAUUUUAUUUUACAAUUACAUUCUUUACUAACUUCUAACUUGAAAUUAAAUCAAUUUAACCCCUAACUAAACCUAUAUAUUUUUCUUUCUCAAUUCAUACCCUUAUUCUACCCAAUUUCUUGCUAAACUCAUAUUUAACUAUUUAAUUUUUAUCAUGUUUUCAUAAUUCCGAAUUUAUUUCAAAUUAAUCCCUAAAAUUCAAAACUUAUAGUUUAGUUUACAAUUCAAUCCUUUAUUCAAUUCCAAUCAAAAUUUCUAUCAAAUACAUCCCUAAUUUAACAAUUUAUUCAACAUGAACCAUGCUUAAUAAUCUACUAACUUUCAAAAUUUCAACUUAAAUCAAGUAGUAUUUUAUUCUAGGAUUUCAAAAAAAAAUAUCAAAAUUAAGAGAAAAGGGGAUUAAAUUGACUUACCAAAUUACUUUGAACCUUAAAACCCCAAAUUUCCCUUUUUCUUUUCUUUUCUUUCUUUCUUUCCUUCCUUCCUUCUCUGUUUCGUUUUGCUCUCUGUUUCUUUCUUUCUCCCUUCUCUGUUUUGUUUUGUUUUGCUCUCUGUUUCUUUUCUUUCUUUCUUUGUCAUAUAUAUAUAUAAUAUAAUAUAAUAUAAAAUAUUAAUAAUAAUCAUUACUUACAUAUAUAUAAUAUAUAUAUUAACUAGAAUAUCUCAGAUAUUUCUUUCAUUAUGCCGCCUCAACUUUAGAAAAAGGCAUAAUUGCCUAUUUGGUCCUUUUAACUUUUCUUUAAUCUAUAAUUAAACUUUUAUCCCUAUUGCAAUUUAAUCCUUUUUCAUAAUUAACUAUCGAAACAUUAAAAUUUCUUAACGAAACUUUAAUAUUAUCCUAUUGACACUUCGUAAAUAUU
rnacentral:lncRNA from 1 species